rnacentral:rRNA from 2 species
UUAAGUUAACAAGGGCGCAUGGUGAAUGCCUUGGCACUAGGAGCCGAUGAAGGACGGGACUAACACCGAUAUGCUUCGGGGAGCUGUACGUAAGCUAUGAUCCGGAGAUUUCCGAAUGGGGCAACCCAGCAGUUUUAAUCAACUGUUACCACUAGAUGAAUUCAUAGUCUAGUUGGAGGUAAACGCUGUGAACUGAAACAUCUCAUUAGCAGCAGGAAUAUAAAGAAAUUUCGAUUCCCUAAGUAGCGGCGAGCGAACGGGGAACAGCCCAAACCAAAGUGCUUGCACUUUGGGGUUGUAGGACUGAACAUUUGAGUUACCAAAGAACUUGAUAGUCGAAGGAUUUGGGAAAAUCCGCCAUAGAUGGUGAUAGCCCAGUAGAUUAAAUCAAAUUCUCUCAGUUCAGGAUCCUGAGUACGGCGGAACACGUGAAAUUCCGUCGGAAUCCGGGAGGACCAUCUCCCAAGGCUAAAUACUACCUAGUGACCGAUAGUGAACCAGUACCGUGAGGGAAAGGUGAAAAGCACCCCGGGAGGGGAGUGAAAUAGUUCCUGAAACCAUGUGCCUACAAUAAGUCAGAGCGCGUUAAUGCGUGAUGGCGUGCCUUUUGUAGAAUGAACCGGCGAGUUAUGAUCCCGUGCAAGGUUAAGACUAAAAAGUCGGAGCCGUAGCGAAAGCGAGUCUGAAAUGGGCGUUUUGAGUACGAGGUUAUAGACCCGAAACCAGGUGACCUAUCCAUGUCCAGGUUGAAGGUGCGGUAAAACGCACUGGAGGACCGAACCCGUGUAAGUUGAAAAUUGCUGGGAUGAGGUGUGGAUAGCGGUGAAAUUCCAAACGAACUUGGAGAUAGCUGGUUCUCUCCGAAAUAGCUUUAGGGCUAGCCUCGGAAUUAGGAUCAUGGAGGUAGAGCACUAUUUGGACUAGGGGCCCGUCUUGGGUUACUGAAUUCAGAUAAACUCCGAAUGCCAUUGAUUCAUAUCCGGGAGUCAGACGAUGAGUGAUAAGAUCCACCGUCGAAAGGGGAACAGCCCAGACCAUCAGUUAAGGUCCCUAAAUGUAUGCUAAGUGGAAAAGGAUGUGGAGUUGCAUAGACAACUAGGAUGUUGGCUCAGAAGCAGCCACCAUUUAAAGAGUGCGUAAUAGCUCACUAGUCGAGUGAUCCUGCGCCGAAAAUGUACCGGGGCUAAGCAUACUACCGAAACCAUGGAUGCGACCAUUAGGUCGCGUGAUAGGAGAGCGUUCUAAGGGCGGUGAAGCAAGAUCGUGAGGACUUGUGGAGCGCUUAGAAGUGAGAAUGCCGGUAUGAGUAGCGAAAGAUAGGUGAGAAUCCUAUCCACCGAAUGACUAAGGUUUCCUGGGGAAGGCUCGUCCUCCCAGGGUUAGUCGGGACCUAAGUCGAGGCCGAGAGGCGUAGACGAUGGAUAACAGGUUGAGAUUCCUGUACUAGUUAAGUGCGUUUGAGCAAUGGAGGGACGCAGGAGGCUAAGAUGUGCAUUCUGUUGGAUUAGAAUGUCCAAGCAGUAAGUCUUGUGAAGAGUCAAAUGCUUUUCACUUUAAGGACAAGCUGUGAUGGGGAGCGAAAUUUAGUAGCGAAGCGUCUGAUGUCACACUGCCGAGAAAAGCUUCUAGUGAGUACUUAACUACCCGUACCGCAAACCGACACAGGUAGUCGAGGAGAGAAUCCUAAGGUGAGCGAGUGAACUCUCGUUAAGGAACUCGGCAAAAUGACCCCGUAACUUCGGGAGAAGGGGUGCUGAUCGCAAGAUCAGCCGCAGUGAAUAGGCCCAGGCGACUGUUUAUCAAAAACACAGGUCUCUGCAAAAUCGUAAGAUGACGUAUAGGGGCUGACGCCUGCCCGGUGCUGGAAGGUUAAAAGGAUGGGUUAGCUUCGGCGAAGCUCAGAAUUGAAGCCCCAGUAAACGGCGGCCGUAACUAUAACGGUCCUAAGGUAGCGAAAUUCCUUGUCGGGUAAGUUCCGACCCGCACGAAAGGCGUAACGAUCUGGGCACUGUCUCAACGAGAGACUCGGUGAAAUUAUAUUGUCCGUGAAGAUGCGGACUACCCGCGACAGGACGGAAAGACCCCAUGGAGCUUUACUGUAGCUUGAUAUUGAGUGUUUGUACAGCUUGUACAGGAUAGGUAGGAGCCAUAGAAACCGGAACGCUAGUUUCGGUGGAGGCGUUGGUGGGAUACUACCCUCGCUGUAUGACCACUCUAACCCGCACCACUAAUCGUGGUGGGAGACAGUGUCAGGUGGGCAGUUUGACUGGGGCGGUCGCCUCCUAAAAAGUAACGGAGGCGCCCAAAGGUUCCCUCAGAAUGGUUGGAAAUCAUUCGCAGAGUGUAAAGGCACAAGGGAGCUUGACUGCGAGACAGACAGGUCGAGCAGGGACGAAAGUCGGGCUUAGUGAUCCGGUGGUACCGUAUGGAAGGGCCAUCGCUCAACGGAUAAAAGCUACCCUGGGGAUAACAGGCUUAUCUCCCCCAAGAGUCCACAUCGACGGGGAGGUUUGGCACCUCGAUGUCGGCUCAUCGCAUCCUGGGGCUGUAGUCGGUCCCAAGGGUUGGGCUGUUCGCCCAUUAAAGCGGUACGCGAGCUGGGUUCAGAACGUCGUGAGACAGUUCGGUCCCUAUCCGUCGCGGGCGUAGGAAAUUUGAGAGGACCUGUCCUUAGUACGAGAGGACCGGGAUGGACAUACCUCUGGUGUACCAGUUGUGCCGCCAGGCGCAUCGCUGGGUAGCUACGUAUGGAUGUGAUAAACGCUGAAAGCAUCUAAGUGUGAAACACACCUCGAGAUGAGAUUUCCCAUUCCUUUAUGGAAGUAAGACCCCUGAAAGAUGAUCAGGUAGAUAGGUUAGAAGUGGCAGUGCGGUGACGCAUGAAGCGGACUAAUACUAAUCGGUCGAGGACUU